AACGCUAGCUACAGGCUUAACACAUGCAAGUCGAGGGGUAGCAGGGUAGCAAUACCGCUGACGACCGGCGCACGGGUGAGUAACGCGUAUCCAACCUGCCCACCACUUGGGGAUAACCUUGCGAAAGUAAGACUAAUACCCAAUGAUAUCUCUAGAAGACAUCUGAAAGAGAUUAAAGAUUUAUCGGUGAUGGAUGGGGAUGCGUCUGAUUAGCUUGUUGGCGGGGUAAUGGCCCACCAAGGCAACGAUCAGUAGGGGUUCUGAGAGGAAGGUCCCCCACAUUGGAACUGAGACACGGUCCAAACUCCUACGGGAGGCAGCAGUGAGGAAUAUUGGUCAAUGGACGAGAGUCUGAACCAGCCAAGUAGCGUGCAGGAAGACGGCCCUAUGGGUUGUAAACUGCUUUUAUAAGGGAAUAAAGUGAGAGUCGUGACUCUUUUUGCAUGUACCUUAUGAAUAAGGACCGGCUAAUUCCGUGCCAGCAGCCGCGGUAAUACGGAAGGUCCGGGCGUUAUCCGGAUUUAUUGGGUUUAAAGGGAGCGUAGGCCGGAGAUUAAGCGUGUUGUGAAAUGUAGAUGCUCAACAUCUGAACUGCAGCGCGAACUGGUUUCCUUGAGUACGCACAAAGUGGGCGGAAUUCGUGGUGUAGCGGUGAAAUGCUUAGAUAUCACGAAGAACUCCGAUUG
rnacentral:rRNA from 1 species